AAGCAGUGGUAUCAAAGCAGAGUUCAAUCUUCGAAACAAUUUCGUUUUUUACACGUCCUUAGAGUGAGUCAUGUAAAAUGUGAAAAUAAUUUCUAUGC